GGGAGCCGGAUGAUGCGAAAGUAUCACGUCCGGUUCUGAGGGGGGAUAACGGAAAAGGAGCCAUUGCUACCUCGCC
rnacentral:ncRNA from 1 species